GCAAGAGCUUUUUUUUCUUUUUCAGCUAGUGCUUUGCAGAUCUUUUAUAAAAACGCAAACGGCCAGGCCAGACUAGGUGAAACUCAUUAACUGAAGAGGGGGAUAAGUGUCUCCACAUCCAAGAGGGAAGACUGGCGCAGGGGCUGAGAGGGACAAAGCCCCUCAAAGUUUAGCAGAGGCCACAGCAAACCUUGGUUUCAGAAUUGCUAACUGCAGGUGUGACAUUCUCCCGUCUGUCUUGGGAUCUAACUUAUCUUUUCCCAUUGAGGCGCGGAAACCAAAACCCAGGAUCAGAGUUGCAGAGAGGACCAGCAGGACUGCAGGUUCUGCGCUUGUAGAGGCAGAGCGCGGAGUCCGUGAUGCUGGGUGGGUGAGAAACUGCGGGGCAAUGGAAGCCCCGCGAGAGGGCUGGACUAGCGACCUUGCAGCACCACGAUCUAGCAGCGUGGCACCCCGCGGUUCCACCCUGCCCAGACCUUGGCCUCCGCCAGCCUCCAACUCGGAGUGACGGCGGGAACUAGCUCUCUGCCGCGUCUCCGCCCAUGGGGAGGUCAGUUGCUCGCAGCGGGCUGCGCCGGGUUCUAAAGUUUUAAAAAAUCUUGUACUGUGGAGCCCUGAAAAAUGCUCCCUAUUAAAGUACAUGCAGCCACGAAAAGCUGGCCCACUUACUUUGUAGUGAUAAACAUCUCACCUUAAAGUUCCAAGACCAACCGCCUGGAACAACGGGACCUUUUUCUGCAGAUUCAAUGCGGGCCGCGCUGCUGAGCAGAAGCCUCAGCAAGUAGGACUGGCGCGGCAGGACCUGAGGGGCUGAGUACACCCACCUGCUCCACGGAGGAGCUGCUCCAGACCGGGCCUCCACGCCUGGGAAUACUUAAUUUUCAUUAGUUCACGUUUGCAGUAACGAUUACGUUCCCCGCGGGGACUUGAUACAUGUAACAUAACUCUUUAUGUUCCCUCCCCACUGGCAAAAGACCCAUUUCCCUCUGAAAACACUCAGCAGUCAAAAGCCAAAUUAAAGGCACCCUAACUAAGGCUUAAAAUUAAACUCAAACUAAUGGUCUGGGGUAAGAUACAAAGGGUGGUGGGUACCCCCAAAACAGGAAGAUACUCAAGGGCUCCUUGUCAAAUAUUCAGUGCUUUUUUUUACAAGCUAUUCAUUUUAAAUACUGAGAAGAUAAACUCCACCGCAGACAGCAUUAUCACCUGCCAGAGUGGAGGUAACACAGAAUGAUGCUGGCGAUUCCUCAUGGAGACCUCUAUCAGUGAGCAAAGGGUGCUGUGGUGUUAGUCCAUCACUAGCAGUGACCUCGUUAGCUCCAAAAUACUUCAAGGCAGGAGUCAUCUUCCCCACAGAAACAAAGAUUAACAAGUGCAUUUAAGUUGAGUAUUAGCACAAAAAUGUGCUAAAUCAGAAGGUCACAGGUAUCUUACACUUAGGCCAGGUUGGAAAGACUGAGACAAAGCAAGCCUUCACAUGUAGGAUCCAAGUUUGUUUUGGUAAUAAAAUCAAAAUGCAAAUACACAUAAAGGUGCUGUAUGUGAAUUCCAAACACACACUUAAGGAAUAUAGUGUGCUUAAUAGCCAGCAAAAACGAACAAAUCUAUGAACAUUUAAAAAUACUGAAGCGUAUAGAAAAUGUAGCUAUAAAUUAAGUUUUUUUUUUUUUUUUUUUAACUUUUUAUCGGUACCAGGGAUUGAACUCACGACCGCCUGCUUGCAAGGCAGGUGCUUAUGCCGCUGAGCUAAAUCCCCAGCCCCCGAGGAUCAUUUUUUUUUAAGUUUUUUUUUUUUUUUAAAUGUAGCUAUAAAUUAAAAUUUUCAAGUUUUUAAAGAUUUUGGCACAAAUCCUUAAAACAGGAACAUGUCUGUGUGAAAUUUAUAAAAAUGUAAACAACUAACUCUAAGACUUUAGUUUGAUUGUCUUGCUGGCCACAUCCUCUUAAAAGCUCCACUUAGCUGGGCAUAGUGGCACGUCCUGUUAUCCUGGGAGGCUGAGGCAAGAGGACUGUAAAUUGAGCCCUGCAGGGCAAUUUAGCAAGAUCCUGUCUCCAAAAUACUACUACUACUACUACUAGAAUAUAAAGUGCAGGGGAUGAAUGCACCCAGAAUGAAGGCUCUGGGUUUAGGCCCCAGUAUGGGGGUUUAGCAUCUUCUUUAUGAUUUCACUGACUUGCUUGUGACAUCUAAUUUCUGCAAACGCUAAUGUGUUUACUAAAGAUUUUCAAAGCUGCUGGGGUUUAGUUCAGUGGCACAAGCGCCUGCCUGGCAAGCAUGAGGUCAUGAGUUUGAUCCCUGGUAUAGAACAAAAAAAAAAAAAAGAUUUUCAAAGCUGAAAUACUGUCAAAUAACACAGGAUGCUAGAACUUUUAAAGUUUAACUUUAUUUUUUUAUUAAAGCCCAGAAAUUUCUGUAAGACAAGUACAUUAAUGAACUGUUUCCAAAGAACAAUAUAUACUCUAGUUUGCGAGGGUUCCAGCUCAAAGAGCUCAUACCUAAUUCCUGUGCACUAAAAAUCAGCAUGGAUCUUAGAUGAUCUAGAAUAUACUGUGUUUUGAAGUCCACAGCUAGUUUGAUUUUUAACCAUAAUGAAAAACCAGUACUAAUUCCAUCAAAUGUGUUUUACAAGCAAUUAUAAAUUCAGAUCCACUGUGUUAUGCAACACACGUCUUUGGAAAGCAACAUAAAACAGUGAGAUCAGAUCAGUACAAAUAUACACAGUUAAAAGAAAUACACAAAGGACUGUAGUUUUAUUAAAAACUACUACUUGAGAAAGAAAUCUUUCCACAAAUA